AAACAGCUCGGGACACAACGAGUCCGAGACCGGAUCUCGCAUUUUCUCCCCAACUUUCUCUGCAACCAAACACUCUCUCCGAACACCAACCGCAGCGUCGCUAUGGCCUCCGCCGCGAAGUCCUUCGUCCAGACGCUAAGGCGCUACAUCAAGAAACCGUGGGAGAUCACCGGUCCUCAGUCUGGUCCGGAGUACAUGUCCGCCGUUCCAAAAGCCACCGAGUACCGUUUGUUCUGCCCGGCCACGGUGCCGGUGAAGGCCAUCAUUCCCGCCUCCAAUCCUGAAACCGUGUACGACAUCAAGUAUUAUUCCCGGGACCAGCGUCGCAAUCGCCCGCCAAUCCGCCGCACCAUCUUGAAGAAGGCCGACGUCGAGAAGAUGAUGAAGCAGAAGACCUUCGACGUCAAUGAUUUCCCCCGGCCUUAUUUGACCACCACGGUUGAGGAAGACGAAAACGCCAUUGGCGGAGGCUACCAAUAAUAAGGCCUAUAUGCUGCCUAGGGCGGGACCUUGCAAUAAAUUCAGUGGAUGGUGUUUCAAAUUAAGUGGUGAACUGCCAUGAAAUGGGCGGCUCCUGGGCUGGACCCUCGCUCUACUAUUGAUACCAGUGGCUGGCAGAUUUAUCAUAAAGAUUGUCCUGCUCGUGUUUGAUAAUAUGGUCAAAAAGAUCAGCGUGCAGGUUUUGCGCAUAGUACUCCUACUCCCCCCCUCCUCAUUGCCUUGUAAUCUGGGCAAAUGGAAAUAGUAAUAUCUGGUUUAACAAAUGCCUCAAGUGUUGAUCUUUUUUUCCUUGGGAUUGAAGAUUGAAGUGCAAAUCUGUCUAUUUAAUUCAAGCAAAAAUUUUCGGAGUUAAGUAGUUAACAAUUAUGUUCUAGACUGUUGAGCAUGAUAACUUUACAGCUUUUCCAAAUAGCCUGAACAGGAGCAAACAAUCAUAC